UAGGGAGACCUAAUCCAUUUAGAAAUCGAAAGCAGUGAAAAUUGUGGGUAGAAACUAAAUUGGUCUAACCUAGGUCGGUCGCAGACUUGAAGUAAAGCUUUCAAACUAUGAUUUGGUUCGAUAAGGGCUAUUAGCUCAGGUGGUUAGAGCGCACCCCUGAUAAGGGUGAGGUCCCUGGUUCGAGUCCAGGAUGGCCCACCUGAAGAAUUUUAGAUUGGUGAUUUGAGAUUUUAGAUUGAGAAAAAAAAUCAAUCCAAAAUCGUCAAUCCAAAAUCCAAAAUUUUGUAGGGGGGUUUAGCUCAGUUGGUAGAGCGCCUGCUUUGCAAGCAGGAUGUCAGCGGUUCGAGUCCGCUAACCUCCACAUUGGAAAAAAAACAGCACCUAACUAUAAAAGUUAGACUGCUGGGUGAAAUUCCAGCCAGAACCUUGAAAACUGCAUAAGAGAACGAGAAAAAGCAGGCAGAAACAGACAUGAGAGUGUUUCGUGAAAGCCAAGAAAAAUUGU
rnacentral:tRNA from 1 species